UGAUUGUCCAAACGCAAUUCUCGAGUCUCUGGAUCCGGCCGAGAGUUGAGUCUGGACGUCCCG
rnacentral:pre_miRNA from 1 species